rnacentral:rRNA from 1 species
CAGUCGCCGCGGUAAUACGAAGGGGGCUAGCGUUGUUCGGAAUUACUGGGCGUAAAGGGCGCGUAGGCGGCCAUUCAAGUUAGAUGUGAAAGCCCCGGGCUCAACCUGGGAACUGCAUCUUAUACUGCGUAGCUGGAGUGCAGUAGAGGGUAGUGGAAUUUCCGGUGUAGCGGUGAAAUGCGUAGAUAUCGGAAGGAACACCAGUGGCGAAGGCGGCUACCUGGACUGACACUGACACUGAGGCGCGAAAGCGUGGGGAGCAAACAGGAUUAGAUACCCCUGUAGUCCCUGUCUCUUAUAC